AAGGUACCAUCAUGCUGUGGUACUGCUGCACCAAGAUACCACCGCACCAAGGUACCACCAUACCCUGGUAUCACCACACCAAGAUACCACUGCACCAUGGAACCACCACACCAAGGUACCGUCAUGCCGUGGUACUGCUGCACCAAGGUACCACCGCACCAAGGCACCACCAUACCAUGGUACCACUGCACCAAGGUACCGCCACACCAAGGUACCACCACGCCCUGGUAUCACUACACCAAGAUACCACUGCGCCAUGGAACCACCGCGCCAAGGUACCACCAUGCCAUGGUACCACCGCACCAAGGUACCGCCAUGCCAUGGUACUGCCACACCAAGGUACCACCAUACCAUGGUACCGCUGCACCAAGGUACCGCCAUGCCAUGGUACCGCUGCACCAAGGUACCGCUGCACCAAGGUACCACCAUACCAUGGUACUGCCGCGCCAAGGUACCACCACACCAAGGUACCACUGUGGCACAGUGCAGCUGUGCCAAGGUACCACCGUGCUAUGGUACCACCGUGCCACAGUACCGCCGCACCAAGGUUCAGCCGCACCGAGCUACAGCCAUGCCGAGGUACCGCCGCACCGCAGUACCACCGCACYGCUGCCACGCCACAGUACCGCUACGCAACGGUGCCACCACACCAAGGAACCACCGCGCCACUGCACCGCCGUGCCACCGUCACGCCAGCGUGGCACACGCAGGGACACACGGACACACACGGGGGGGGACGACACACACACGGGGGGACACAGGGGUGCGGGGACAUGGGGACGUGUGGGGGGGGGGGACACCCACGGGGCCAGGUCUGCUCUUCCUCGUCCCUGUCCCCAUCUCCCAUGUCCUUGUCCCCAGUGUCCCCAUCCCUGUUGUCCCUGUUCCUGUGUCCAGCUCCCCAGGGCUCCUGUCCUUGUCCCAGUGUCCCUGUCCCCAGGGUCACUGUCCCCGUCCUGAUGUCCCCGUCCCUGUGCCCGGAUGCCCAAGGUCCCUGUCCUUGUCCUGGC
rnacentral:lncRNA from 1 species